GGAUUAGGCAUGCAAGUCGAACGAGAAAGGUUUCGCAAGAGACCGAGUAAAGUGGCGGAAGGGCGAGUAAUGCAUAAAUAACCUACCCCCGAGAUGGGGAUAACUUCUCGAAAGGGCUGCUAAUACCCAAUAAGACCACGGGUCGAUGGAUCUGUGCUUAAAGAUGGGGACCCGCAAGGGCCUUUCGCUCGGGGAGGGGUUUAUGUCCUAUCAGCUAGUUGGUGAGGUAAUGGCUCACCAAGGCUAUGACGGGUAGCCGACCUGAGAGGGUGACCGGCCGCACUGGGACUGAGACACUGCCCAGACUCCUACGGGAGGCUGCAGUCGAGGAUCUUCCGCAAUGCGCGAAAGCGUGACGGAGCGACGCCGCGUGGGUGAUGAAGGCCUUCGGGUUGUAAAGCCCUGUCACCUGGGAAGAAUGGCGGAGGGUGAAUAGCCACUUCGCUUGACGCUACCAGGAGAGGAAGCACCGGCUAAAUACGUGCCAGCAGCCGCGGUAAUACGUAUGGUGCGAACGUUGUUCGGAAUUACUGGGCAUAAAGAGCACGUAGGCGGUUGGGCAAGUCCAUCGUGAAAUCCCCACGGCUCAACCGGGGAACUGCAGUGGAUACUACCUGACUUGAGUGCAGGAGGGGAGAGUGGAAUUCCAGGUGGAGCGGUGAAAUGCGUAGAUAUCUGGAGGAACGCCGGUGGCGAAAGCGACUCUCUGGUCUGCAACUGACGCUGAGUGUGCGAAAGCUAGGGGAGCAAACGGGAUUAGAUACCCCGGUAGUCCUAGCCGUAAACGAUGUGCACUAAGUAGAGGGGUUUU
rnacentral:rRNA from 1 species